AUAUAGGUUAUUACAGAAUAUUGAGCCAAGUUCCCUGUGCUAUACAGUAGGUCCUUUUUGGGAAACAGGUACUAUUUUCAUCCUAAUUGUACACAUGGGGAAAUUGAGGCACAGAAAGGCUAAGUAACUUGGCCGAGAAGACACAGUGAGCUAAGGAUUUGAACCGAAGCGUUCUGGUUCUGUAGUCUGCGUUUUUCCCCACUUACCCAAUGGGCCUGUCCCUACUGGGCAGACAGGUCUACUCAGGGCAGCAUGAGGCUGAUGAGAGGGUCGGUUCAGUUUCUAAGAGAAAUGCUGAGGCUAUUUGUAAAUGUCUUAUAAGGAUUUGGCAAUGCUUUCCUACCAACCUCACGUCAGAAUGUUACAAUCAGAGUGACAUGUGGGGGUGUUUCUGCCGGCGUGUGUGGGGACUUUUCCCUCCGCCUGUUUCCUCCCAGCUGGGUCCUAUCUGUACGUGUAUCUGGAGUCACUGACAGGAGCCCUGCUGGGAAAUCUUGACUGCAAGAUGAAGCCAACAGGGACCCUGGGGUGUGGAAGGGGUGGGGGGACCUGUCUUUUCUGUGUCUAUCAUCUAACAAACACAUUUGAACACUAAGAGCCACGGAGGACCUGCCCUCCUUCAAGAGGAUCAUUGAGGUGACAGUUUUGUCAGCCUGACCAUCUCUGGGGACAGUAUACCAGCUCUCUCAGGGUGGUCAAAACCUCGUAUUUCUUUAGGUAAGCAUUUCCUUAAUAUUUAACCCAAAUUCUCUCAGUUAAAUAUUUAAUCCAACUGUAAGGUGCUGUUUUUGCUGGAAGAAUAGCUGGUCUUUGGCUUCCUCAUAAUCUGUCUUUAAAAGAAGUGCCCUUGACAACGAUGACAUGAUGAAUUCAGCCACUGACAGACCCUGACGUUCUUAGGCCCCCAAGAGUAGGGUGUUUUCCUUUCUUUGUGUCCAGAAUUACUCAGAAUUAUCUGAAUACCUAUUCCUCAUGUCACUACUGUUCCCAAAGUGCUUCACAGGCAUCUGCGUUCAGUUCGGAAAUCCUGUUUUGUGCUAUGUCAUCAUCUUUCCUGUGUUCCAACUUUCCAAACUAUUGAUCAAUUAUUUACUCUCUCUGUAAGAUUUCUUUCAGAUUUCAUUUUGAACAACCUGCUAGUCAAGAGAUCUUUGGGGCGCUGACUUGAGACGGAAACAGACACCAGCUCCUUGGAAAGGAUCGCCUUUCAGCCACUCCAGACUCCUUACCUUGCUCGACUACCUUAAGAAGCAAGUUGGGAGCCUUGAGCUGCUCUUUAAGUUUGUCAAGUUCAACCUUGGCAGUACCAGGCUGCUCCUGAUCUUCCUGGUCCUGCUCUUGCCAGGCUGCAGAGACGAAACAUGUCAAAUCCUCCCAGCAAAGGCAGUGAAGGCAACCAGGCUCUCUUCCCUCGAAAAGAAUCUAAGAGUCAACGUCUUGAUGUCUCACAAUUGACUAUCAACACUGCUAUAGUGUACAUGCAGCUAUUCUACAUGAUUCAGUCCUUUACACAGUUCCAUUGAAAUGAGGAGUGGACCCUGUAACAGGAAAUUUCUUCACUGAAAUUCAAUUUUUUGCAUGCAAAACCUAAUUUCAUUUUUGGAUUGGCUGAAAUGUUUAAGGAGCCCCGAUGAAAUAUCAGAAUUUGUUAAAAGUCAAGAAGUAUAAUCACGGUUCAGACUACGUGAAUGGUCAGCACGAGAGCCAAGGUAAUGAAAUCUUUGCAACCUUGCCUGUGUACAGCCACUUGAUCUCUACUCUUUUGAAGCAUUUUCAAAAGUACAUUGUGUUAUUUUGGUGACUAGCACAGGUUCUUGCUUAUGUAUAAAAAUUGGACAAAAUGGCUUAUUUGCUUAACAAUGUCCAAGUCUGUUGCAUGUAGUUUGAAGGCUUUGCCCAAGAACCUGGCGGGAGGGAGUACCGUGGACACAGGUUUCAGAGUUGGGGCAUUUUCAGAUCAUUGCAAGUCCACUUUAUAAAGCAUUCUAAUUUACCUUGUUUUUGGUGAGUCUGUAUUUUUGCAUAUAAAGUAAGUUUUACAGAUAUGAUGUAGAUGAAAACCAGGGGAGAUCAACAGUGGCAGUUACCAAUUUUAAAUGUGGGAAGAAAGACAAAGACAUCACAGAAGACAAAGCUAAAUGAAAGUUUGGAUUUUGGACUUAAAUGGGUCACUUAAUAAUUGUGUCAUACUGGGCGAGUUACCGAAGCUCAGGGAGUAGUUUUUCAUUAGUGCAAGGGUGAAAUGAAACCCACAAUGCAUUAUUCUGAUUUUCCCUACCCUGGAGAACUAUGUAGGAAACAAAACUGACAUGUUUGGCAAGAUACCCACGUGGGUUAAAAUCUAUACAGAUUUGUACAUGUUUGAGAAGCUGAUAACUCCUUUCAUAAAACAUAUAGUCCCUGACCUGAACCUUUCAGAAGUGUAUGAUCAAUCACAGUAAAAGGACUUUUAGUUUUCUGUAUUUAAAUCCCUUCCACAGGGGACAAGGUCUACCCACAAGCUCACAGGUACUAGAACAUGUGUUGUUACAAUGAAAAUCAGAAUGAUAUGCUUCUGAACUGCUUAAUCACUCCCCCAAAGACAAUUACUUCUAUUCUGGAAGAAGCAGGACUCUGUAGUGAAAACACAGAGACCUGAAAGCAGUGCAUUAAUUAUUUUAUUAAUUUCUUUUUACAUUAUGGGAAACAUUCAUCUAUUUACAAUUUUUUUUUGUCCGCACACAAUCUAGGUAGAUAAGCCUAUGAAAUUCCAAUUCAUAAAGCCAUAAAAAUGUUCCCCACCCCUCCAUCUGAAAGCUUUCAAAUGAAUCUUUUUUUUU